GAUGGACUGAUACCUACAGAAAGGAGUCAUGACAUUAUGUAUCCAUGUGGAGCUGAUGUCUGUUAUCACGUAUGGCACCUCAGCACAGACGAAACAAGCAAUUACAUCGCUAUAGUCAGUAAUGGAGAGCUCCAGACAUCUAAACUGGAGGAUGAUGAGUCAAAAUGCACUCUGCGAAUCAAAGAUCUCACAGCGGAGGAUGUUGGAAGUCAUCGCUGCCAGCGAAGGCCAAAUGUCCACAAUACGCCCCCAGCUGCUCCAGUGAUAAACCUCAUGGCACAAAAAACUCUGUUCCUGCAGUGUGUCCUGUUGGCCUUCGUGGAGCAGGGACACUGUCUUACAGAGCAGCAGCAGCAGAUCAGCCUGAUGUGGGUGGAUGAAACGGGUGCUCAGAUUCAAGACGACGCCCAGCAUCAGACAGAGCAGCUGCACUCUUGUGAAGUAACUCUGACGGUCACCCUGCAGAGGCCUGAAAACAAGAAGUUCAGGUGCCAGGUGAUGGCCGGUGAUCAGGUCCAGACUUCAGUGGAGCUUCGGGUCAGAGCUCGAGGUCUGGUUUAUCCUGAUAAGCACAUUUCUACUUCUAAGAUUAAAGAAUUAACACGAACAAACUCAACUUUCUCUGCUCAUCAAAGGGAUGGGGAGAGGUCUCGUCGUAGAACUGGAACCUGAAAAUCAAGGUCAUAGCCAGGACACAGUCGGGGCUGCUGUCGGGGUGGUCGGAUGUCUGGUUUUGACGCUGCUGGUUGCAGCAUUUGUUGUGAACAGAAGAAGAGCGAACAGCCGGCUGCCGGAUGAGUCAUGUAACACCAUCAGCACCAACGAUGUUCUGAAUGCAGAUGAUGUGAUCUACGCUGACAUAAUUCUCCCCGUUGGCUCCGACAGAGUGUUUGUCCAGCAGUGGGACGCCACAGAAUACGCCUGCAUCAGAUACAAAUAGCAGGAUGCUGUACAAAAUGUGAAUAACAUUGUUGAUAUUGAGAUUUUGUUGCUUUCUUUUAAAGCCUCAGGCACUCAGGCCACAGCUUACAUCUGUGACCUUUUAACUCUGAGAUCAUUUGGAAGGUUCCUGAAUCUUGCCUUGUGAAAACAGAGGAUUGGCCCUCUGCUGCCCCAAGAUGUGGAAUUUUAGAGCAGAAAAUGCUAACUCGGUGUCUUCUGUUAACAUUCUGAAGCUAAAAUCCAGGAGUAGUUUUAAAGCCCAUGUUGUCUUUAAAACAAUGGCAAAAAUUACACCAAUUUUCAAAGCUGGAAACUGGAAAAACAGAACAAAUUACCUGAUGUUCAACUUUCCCAAGGUCCUUGAAUGAAAGUGUGAUGCAUAGUUCCAACAGAAAAAAACCCAACCAAAUCUAAAUCAGUGUAUUCUGGAUUUUUUUAGGUUGAACUGUAGGCAGUGUUUACACAGAGAGACUGAGAGCAAAAUCAAAUAGACUGGAUCAAUAGUAUAAAUGCAGCAUGGCUAAAAAACAAAAACGGUAAACAGAGAAGCAAGUUCUUGGAAGAUGCAUUCAGCAUGAGGAAACAACUUUCUGGAGUUAAUGUCCAAAGCAGUGUGAAAAAGCUUGAUCUGAAGAGGUUGUAAAUACUGAAACAGUUGUUCAUGUUAUCCAAUUUUUAAUUUUUACAUUUUUGUUAUGGCAUAUGGCAUUGUAGCUUUCUUCAUAUUGCACAGACGAUGCUUCUAGUCAUGGUUGUCCUGCUUCCGUAGAGGUAGAGGACUUCAUACUGCAGUUAAAAAUGAGCUACAGUGAGGAAAAUUGCAACAGGAGCAAAAAAACUAAAAAUAUCCACAAACUGGUUGGGAUUCAGAGUGUUACAACAUAAAACUUCUUGGCCUCUUCUUGAUUAGUUUAACUGCAGUUAUUUUUGAAAUCAUGUUUUAUAUUCUACUUCCUUCAUAUACUUUUACUUUAAGUCUGCUUGUUUUUACCCUUUUCAUUGGUAGUCAUUUUGUUCUGUGGUAUCUUGUCUGCUUGGUUUUAUACUUACAGUAGAUAUUAUAGUCUGUUUUGUGUAACACUUUCACACUUUACUAGUUUUAUGUAUUUAAAACUGCAAAAUUCUCUCCUGUGAUUCUCUGUACUAUAACUGCAGUGACUUCUUUAAGUCUUGGCACAUAAGCUUGACUUGCAUUUUGCCUUUUAA